AUCAGCAAUGAUACGGUGAAUACGUUUCCGGACCUUGCACACACCGCCCGUCAAGCCAUGGAAGCUGGGUGUACCUAAAGUCGGUAACCGUAAGGAGCCGCCUAGGGUAAAACUGGUGACUGGGGCUAAGUCGUAACAAGGUAACCGUA
rnacentral:rRNA from 1 species